rnacentral:rRNA from 1 species
UACGGAGGGGGCUAGCGUUGUUCGGAAUUACUGGGCGUAAAGCGCACGUAGGCGGCUUUGCAAGUUAGAGGUGAAAGCCCGGGGCUCAACCCCGGAAUUGCCUUUAAGACUGCAUCGCUUGAACGUCGGAGAGGUGAGUGGAAUUCCGAGUGUAGAGGUGAAAUUCGUAGAUAUUAGGAAGAACACCGGUGGCGGAGGCGGCCCACUGGCUCGAUACUGACGCUGAGGUGCGAAAGCGUGGGGAGCAAACAGG